rnacentral:lncRNA from 1 species
CGUCUAUCGGAAUUUUGUUGUAUUAUCGGUACAACUCUCAAUUCCGUAACGAGCAGCUAUAAGCGCUCCUUAGCAGACAAAAUUUUGUCUGUUUAAUGAUUAGAUAUUAAUAUCAUUUCGUUUAUUGAGUAAAUUUCCAAAUUUUAUUAAUAAGAACAAAAUGGCUGGAAAAGUAAAUAAAGAAGCAGAGAACUUGAAAGGUUUUUUAAAAUAUUUUAAUAGCGUAACCCUACAGGGACGAGCAAACGUAGCUAUGACAACGUAUGCUUGCUUAGCUGUACUUGGAUGUUAUCUCUAUUUCAAACCAAAGAAAGCUGCGACUAAAUAAGAAAAUGAAAGCAUACAAUCAUCUUAUAUAAUGAUUUUGUCCAUAAAUUAGGUACACUAUUUAAUUAAUAAAAAUGUAGUAAACAAUUUA